rnacentral:rRNA from 1 species
UGGGGAAUAUUGCGCAAUGGGGGAAACCCUGACGCAGCAACGCCGCGUGGGUGAUGAAGGCCUUCGGGUCGUAAAGCCUUGUCAGGUGGGACGAAUAGCCGCGGGUGAAUAAUCCGUUGGCCUUGACGGUACCGCCAAAGGAAGCACCGGCUAACUCCGUGCCAGCAGCCGCGGUAAUACGGAGGGUGCGAGCGUUGUUCGGAAUUACUGGGCGUAAAGAGCUUGUAGGCGGCCUGCUAAGUCUGAUGUGAAAACCCUCGGCUUAACCGAGGAAGUGCAUUGGAUACUGGCGGGCUUGAGUAUGGGAGAGGAGAGCGGAAUUCCCGGUGUAGAGGUGAAAUUCGUAGAUAUCGGGAGGAACACCAGUGGCGAAGGCGGCUCUCUGGACCAAUACUGACGCUGAGAAGCGAAAGCGUGGGGAGCGAACAGGAUAGAUACCCUGGUAGUCCACGCCGUAAACGAUGGGUACUAGGUGUUGGGGGUUUACCCUCCAGUGCCGGAGCAAACGCA